CCUACGGGAGGCAGCAGUGGGGGAUAUUGCACAAUGGGGGAAACCCUGAUGCAGCGACGCCGCGUGGGUGAAGAAGUAUUUCGGUAUGUAAAGCCCUAUCAGCAGGGAAGAAAGAAGACGGUACCUGACUAAGAAGCCCCGGCGAACUACGUGCCAGCAGCCGCGGUAAUACGUAGGGGGCGAGCGUUACCCGGAUUAACUGGGGGUAAAGGGAGCGUAGACGGCCGGGCAAGCCAGGAGUGAAAGCCCGGGGCUUAACCCCGGAACUGCUUUGGAAACUGUGCGGCUGGAGUGCGGGAGGGGUAAGCGGAAUUCCUAGUGUAGCGGUGAAAUGCGUAGAUAUUAGGAGGAACACCGGCGGCGAAGGCGGCCUGCUGGACCGCAACUGACGUUGAGGCUCGAAAGCGUGGGGAGCGAACAGGAUUAGAUACCCGUGUAGUC
rnacentral:rRNA from 1 species